rnacentral:rRNA from 1 species
CGUGCCUAACACAUGCAAGUCGAGCGGAGAUAAGUUGAAGCCUAGCGAUUCUUAUCUUAGGCGGCGGAUGGGUGAGUAACACGUGGGUAACCUGCCCUGCACUGGGGGAAUAACAGCUGGAAACGGCUGUUAAUGCCGCAUAUGCGCACGGAGCCGCAUGGCUUUGGGCGGAAAGAUUUAUCGGUGCAGGAUGGGCCCGCGCCGGAUUAACUAGUUGGCGGGGUAACGGCCCACCAAGGUGAUGAUCCGUAGCCGACCUGAGAGGGUGACCGGCCACAUUGGGACUGAGACACGGCCCAAACUCCUACGGGAGGCAGCAGUGGGGGAUAUUGCACAAUGGGGGAAACCCUGAUGCAGCGACGCCGCGUGAAGGAUGAAGUAUUUCGGUAUGUAAACUUCUAUCAGCGGGGAAGAAGAUGACGGUACCCGACUAAGAAGCCCCGGCUAACUACGUGCCAGCAGCCGC